AUUGAACGCUGGCGGCAGGCCUAACACAUGCAAGUCGAGCGGAUGAAGGGAGCUUGCUCCUGGAUUCAGCGGCGGACGGGUGCGUAAUGCCUAGGAAUCUGCCUGGUAGUGGGGGAUAACGUCCGGAAACGGGCGCUAAUACCGCAUACGUCCUGAGGGAGAAAGUGGGGGAUCUUCGGACCUCACGCUCUCAGAUGAGCCUAGGUCGGAUUAGCUAGUUGGUGGGGUAAAGGCCUACCAAGGCGACGAUCCGUAACUGGUCUGAGAGGAUGAUCAGUCACACUGGAACUGAGACACGGUCCAGACUCCUACGGGAGGCAGCAGUGGGGAAUAUUGGACAAUGGGCGAAAGCCUGAUCCAGCCAUGCCGCGUGUAUGAAGAAGGUCUUCGGAUUGUAAAGCACUUUAAGUUGGGAGGAAGGGCAGUAAGUUAAUACCUUGCUGUUUUGACGUUACCAACAGAAUAAGCACCGGCUAACUUCGUG
rnacentral:rRNA from 1 species